GAAUGUCUGUGAAGUCUAGGAUUUUGAAUUUCAGAAUUUUUAUUAUGCCCCUGAUCCACCAAACUCUAAUGGUACCUGACAUUUGUUGGGUAAAGUAAAAAUAGUUGGUCACUGUGCUGACCUCAUGACAUUCUUGUUAAGUGUUGGCCAUAGAAACAUGACCUUAUCAUCUGCUUUACAGACCAAAAGAUCUAAAAAGGGUACUUUAACAACCAAAACAAUUUUGUUUUUAAACUGACACUGCGAGAAUAUAACAGAAGACCAACAUGGCCUAUAAUGUGCUGAUGUGCGAAAAACCCAAAACAUCAAACAUCAUAUCAAGUUAUAUUGGAUAGUUUUUAAUAAAAUUGUCAACAUAUUCUAAAACAUGGAUCAAAAGACAAGAUUUUUUUUUCAAGCAAAUUGUAAACAGAAAGAAGAAAUAUAACAUAAUUGUUUUCUAUUUUCUGAUAUUCAUAUGAUAAUGAAUAUAAUAAAAGUUUUUUUUUUAUUUUCUUAAUGCAAAGAAGUAAAAAAAGAAAUUAAAGGGAAAUGAAAUUUUUAAACUCCACUGGAAUCUAGUUUUGUAAACUCCACUAACAUCUAGUUUUGUAAACUCCACUGGAAUCUAGAUUUUAAACUCCACUGAGAUGUAGAUUUUAAAGUCCACUGGGAGAGUAUCAAAGUAUCAAGAAACAAGGGCAUUCACUGCUUCAGCACCCCCCCCCCCCCACCCCCA